GUUCAGGAAUAAACAUAAACUUAUCUCAAUUUGCUCACAAAUACACAUAUUCGGUGCGAAAUCUGACUUAGUUGAACACCAAGCUACUGUACUAAAAUGUUGUCUUAGUCAUUAAUUGGACCUUCUAACUUCUAGUGGAAGAGCAUUUAAUUGGUCUGUCACCAAAUGUCGAGAUGAACAAUCAAUUCGUUUUUUUUUUAAUGAAUCUCUCUUCAGAAUCUCUAUUUUAACGCUAUGUCUUCUUCAUGUAUCUUGGUAAAAUCAGUACCAAAGUUGCAAUUGUCUUAACUUUGAACAAGAGUGAAAUAUUACAUGCAUUUUUGUUCCUGUCGAUGCUGUUAGAACAAUAGAGGAUGUCAUUACUGCGAUCUUUAUUUUGAAAUAAAUAUACCUUUAUUUUGUAAUUGUUAUACCGGAAUGAGCACUUUACAGAAUCUCCGUAAACUUUACGCAAAAACUCGGGUGCACUUGUAGCGGCAUUUGCCACGCGAGUUCUUUUACCGGUACUUUUUCCUCAUCGUCCGUCGUCGUUUUGCCAAAGCCGAACAUACAAAGUUAAUUAAAGUUUGUUGAAGCAUCACAUAUUUGACUCUAAGGAUUUUCUCCGUGAGAAGACUGCCGUUGAUUGAAAGCAGGCCAAAGUGGUCAGUAGUAUUUUGUAUUGUCUCUCGUGAUUAGCUUUGACGCCUAGCAAAGCUGCCUUUGUCGUAAAUGAAAUAUGUUGUUUUAUGUUGUAUUUCUGAACUUUUAGUUUUACGGUGUGUUGCUGUGCAAUAAACAUCUGUGAAAGGAACUGGAGUCUCGUAUCCGAACCAGGGGCAGGAGAGACGGUGCCGACAGAGACUGUUUCACACGCAUUUCCAUAUAAUGAACCCAGAGGCCAUCUUGACACCAAAAGAGAACACAGAAACAAAG